AUUGAAAUAUUGGUUCCCGUACGAUCACCGAAGUUAAGCAACAUCGAGCCUGGUCAGUACCUAGAUGGGUAACCGCUUAGGAAUACCAGGUGCUGUCA
rnacentral:rRNA from 1 species